CUCAAGAUGGCUGUGCCUGUCAGCUGCAUGGAGCUUCGUUCAAGUAUUUUCUGAGCCUGAUGGAUUUACAGUGAUCUUCAGUGGUCUGGGGAAUAACGCUGGUGGAACCAUGCACUGGAAUGACACACGCCCGGCACAUUUCAGGAUACUAAAAGUGGUUUUAAGGGAGGCUGUGGCUGAAUGCCUCAUGGAUUCUUACAGCUUGGAUGUCCAUGGGGGACGAAGGACUGCAGCUGGCUGAGAGGGUUGAGAUCUCUGUUUACUUAGAUCUCUGCCAACUUCCUUUGGGUCUCCCUAUGGAAUGUAAGACCCCGACUCUUCCUGGUGAAGCAUCUGAUGCACGUUCCAUCCGGCGCUCAGCUGGGCUUGAGCUGACCAUACUCCCUGGAGCCUUCUCCCGAGGUGCGCGGGUGACCUUGGCACAUACAGCCAUCAUGAUGGUACUUUAAGUGGAGGCUGAAUCAUCUCCCCUUUGAGCUGCUUGGCACGUGGCUCCCUUGGUGUUCCCCUUUUACUGCCAGGACACUGAGAUUUGGAGAGAAUCCUGUUACACCUGGGAUUUAGGCACUUUCAAUCUGAAAAAAUACAUAUCCUUUCAGCACUCUGGACGGACUUGAGAACUGUCCUUACGUGACCUAAAGCUGGAGUAUUUUGAGAUUGGAGAAUUAAGAGCCAGUCUUGGUGCUCUGUGUUCACCUGGUUCAUCUGAGGAGCUGCAUCUACCCUGCCCAUGCCAUAGAUCCUGCCCUGUUUGCUUCUCCUGUUGCUGCUAGUGGACAUGAGAAGGACAGAAUAACGGGCUCCCAGAUUCACAAGCCCCACCAAGAGGAUCACCCCAGGAACGCUUGGAGGCUGAGGAGUUCACUGAGGCUACUGCAUCUUGAGACUCAGGAUGAAGACCCAGCUUGGGGCUGUCAAAGGUUUUUUGCAUGUCUGACACCCAUGACUCCACCUGGACCUUAUGGCUCCACCCAGAAGCAAUUCAGCCCAACAGGAGGACAGCUUCAACCCAUUACGAUUUCAUCUCUGCCCCAACCACUCAGCAGCAAGCACCUGUUACCUGUCCACCCCCACCCCUUCCCCCAAACUGCCUUUGAAAAAUCCCUAACCUAUGAGCUUUGAAUAAGAUGAGUACGAACUUCAUCGCCCACGUGGCGUGGCCGGCCUCGUGUCUAUUAAAUUCUUUUUCUACUA
rnacentral:lncRNA from 1 species